UCCUUUUGGUCCUGAAGAUCGCAUUGAACAACCUGGAGAGCCACUCCACUCCUGACCUACCCAUGCACUUCCAGAACUCCACCGGGAUCUCGUUUGGCCCGGGUCACUCGACCCCUACUCAUCUUACGCAAAGCCCCCAUGACCUCCUCCACUCUAAUGCGCCUGCAGUACCCAAGGUCUCUAUGUUGCUCUGAAUGCUCCAACUCCCCUAGCUCUAUGUUACGAUCCCCCACCUCGUUAAGUAAGUCUCGAAAGUAUGCCUGCCACCUCUACUUAACUUGAGACUCCCCCAUCAGAACUCUAUCAUCCUCGCUCUUGAUGCACCUAACUUGGCCAAGAUCACGCGCCUUCAUUUCCCUUUCUUUAGCUAACCGGAAUAACUUCCUGUCCCCGCCUUUCUCCCCUAAUUCCUCGUACAUGCGACCAAACGCCACGUNNNNNNNNNNNNNNNNNNNNNNNNNNNNNNNNNNNNNNNNNNNNNNNNGACCUACCCAUGCAUUUCCAAAACUCCACCGGGAUCUCGUCAGGCCCGGUCGCUCGACCCCUACUCAUCCUACGCAGAGCCCCCAUGACCUCCACCGCCCAAAUGCGCCUGCAGUACCCAAGGUCUCUAUGUUGCUCUGAAUGCUCCAACUCCCCUAGCUCUAUGUUACGAUCCCCCUCCUCGUUAAGUAAGUCUCGAAAGUGCGCCUGCCACAUCUGCUUGACUUGAGACACCCCCAUCAGAACUCUACCAUCAUCGCCCUUGAUGCACCUAACUUGGUCAAGAUCACGCACCUUCCUUUCCCUUGCUUUAGCUAACGGAAUAACUUCUUGUCCCCGCCUAUCUCCCCUACUUCCUCGUACAUGCGACCAAACGCCGCAUUUUUAGCUUCCAUAACCGCCAGCUUUGCUUCUUUCCUCGCCACCUUGUAGAUCUCCCUGUUCGCUCUGCGUUCUUUCUCGCUUGUGCUCCCUGCCAACUUAGCAAACGCCGCCCUCUUCACCUCCACUUUUCCUUCGACUACAUCGUUCCACCACCAGUCACCCUGAUGUCU
rnacentral:lncRNA from 1 species